rnacentral:rRNA from 1 species
CUACGUGCCAGCAGCCGCGGUAAUACGGAAGGUCCGGGCGUUAUCCGGAUUUAUUGGGUUUAAAGGGAGCGUAGGCCGGGGAUUAAGUGUGUUGUGAAAUGUAGACGCUCAACGUCUGAAUUGCAGCGCAUACUGGUUUCCUUGAGUACGCACAACGUUGGCGGAAUUCGUCGUGUAGCGGUGAAAUGCUUAGAUAUGACGAAGAACUCCGAUUGCGAAGGCAGCUGACGGGAGCGCAACUGACGCUUAAGCUCGAAGGUGCGGGUAUCAAACAGGAUUAGAUACCCUGGUAGUCCGCACAGUAAACGAUGGAUGCCCGCUGUUGGUACCUGGUAUCAGCGGCUAAGCGAAAGCAUUAAGCAUCCCACCUGGGGAGUACGCCGGCAACGGUGAAACUCAAAGGAAUUGACGGGGGCCCGCACAAGCGGAGGAAUAUGUGGUUUAAUUCGAUGAUACGCGAGGAACCUUACCCGGGCUUGAA